GACGAACGCUGGCGGCGUGCUUAACACAUGCAAGUCGAACGGAAAGGCCCUGCUUUUGUGGGGUGCUCGAGUGGCGAACGGGUGAGUAACACGUGAGUAACCUGCCCUUGACUUUGGGAUAACUUCAGGAAACUGGGGCUAAUACCGGAUAGGAGCUCCUGCUGCAUGGAGGGGGUUGGAAAGUUUCGGCGGUUGGGGAUGGACUCGCGGCUUAUCAGCUUGUUGGUGGGGUAGUGGCUUACCAAGGCUUUGACGGGUAGCCGGCCUGAGAGGGUGACCGGCCACAUUGGGACUGAGAUACGGCCCAGACUCCUACGGGAGGCAGCAGUGGGGAAUAGUGCACAAUGGGCGGAAGCCUGAUGCAGCAACGCCGCGUGCGGGAUGACGGCCUUCGGGUUGUAAACCGCUUUCGCCUGUGACGAAGCGUGAGUGACGGUAAUGGGUAAAGAAGCACCGGCUAACUACGUG
rnacentral:rRNA from 1 species